CGGGUGAGUAACGCGUGAGGAACCUGCCUCAAAGAGGGGGACAACAAGUUGGAAACGACUGCUAAUACCGCAUAAGCCCACGGCUCGGCAUCGAGCAGAGGGAAAAGGAGUGAUCCGCUUUGAGAUGGCCUCGCGUCCGAUUAGCUAGUUGGUGAGGUAACGGCCCACCAAGGCGACGAUCGGUAGCCGGACUGAGAGGUUGAACGGCCACAUUGGGACUGAGACACGGCCCAG
rnacentral:rRNA from 1 species